UUUGUUUCGCGGCUCGGCAUUCGGGCGUGUUCUUCAAAAAGAUUUGGAAAAAGCUGUUGUUGGUCGCUUCGAUGCGCUUUCGAAGGAGCAAGU